CGUGCCAGGGGGCGAGCGAGCGCCCGGAAGGCCGUCUUCUCCCUGUGGCUGUUCGUCUCAUCCUCCCAGCUCAUGCGCUGCUCCAAACGUCCCCUUUCCAUAAUUGAUAUGGGAUUAGCGCCCACCCUCGUGAUCUCACACGGACUUCUCUGAAAAGACUCUAUAUCCGGCCACACUCAGAGGAAUCCUGUUGGUCCCCCUUCUGACUUGACCUCCAUGGAAUCCAUUCUCACCUAUCAGGGCUCGCAAAAUGUAUGUUUUUGGGCCCCAGGAAACCUGGAUGUUAUACCCAUUUUGCAGGUGAGAAAAUAAACUCAAGAGAAGGUCUCAGUAUCACCCAGGGUCACAGUGAUAGAAGGAGAAGGAGCCAGAACUCAAAGGCCCUGCUCCUCCUCCUCCACGAUGCUGUCUCCACUGAGAGCCAUUGAUGCACAUUGAUCUUUGGAGGAGCACAAAAAAAGUGAGAUAGGACAUUCUAAAAACCCAGAGGACUCACUCAAAUUUCUAAAGAAGGACUCACCAUGACUUAUAGUGCUCCCUCCAUCCCAUCUCCCUUCCGGACCAGUGUCUGCAGAGAAUUCCACCUACAGUCAGCACCGGCGUCACUGUGCAGGCUCAAAGCAAUCCAGGAAUCCAAGCACACUGCGGGAGUAAAGAUGGGUCACAUCAAAUGCCUUCUGGAACAUUCUGGAAGUACAGGCUAAUUCUUGAAAACCUACUGCAUGCCAGGCACUCACACCGGCAUCUGUCUUCUGCCACACGAAAAAUUAUUAUCUUUCUAAGAACAAGAAAAUAGAAACUAAGUUGCUCCAUUUCACAGAGAUAGUACGAGACAGACAAUAGGCUGGAAAGGCACUCUGCUCUGCCCCAAAGCCCACACCCAGGCCUCCAGGGGGAGGUUUUCUACCGGAGCUGGUUCACACUUAGGCACAUCAUGUCCAGGCAGGUGAUGCUGACAGCGUCACAGGUCCUUGCUUCGUGGCCCUCAUGUGCUGAAGCAGUCAGGCAGCCCUGCUCUUCGCCCAGCUGAGGUGAGCAGAUGAAAACAAAUGUUCUCUGUUUAUUAUCCUGCAAGAAUUGUUUUAUUAUCCUACACCAUGAAGUCCCAAACCCACUACCUCUGCUUUGCCCAGGCCCACCUGGACUUGUUCACAUCAGCCCCACUCUUCCUAGGAGUCCCUCCUGUGAGCAGUAAACUUUCUCUCAAAUUCU